rnacentral:rRNA from 1 species
AUGGUGGCAUGCGCCCAAGGUCUCGGUGUGCCCUGUGGAUCUCGGAUGUUCAGGCACGCGUUGCAGGCGGUCGCAUUCCUGAGCGAGGAGAAGAUCGCUGCCAAAGCGGAGUACAUGAGGAAGGCGUUUAGGUGGUCAGAUGCUCAGGCUGGCACUGUCGUGUCCAAGCUUCCAACGAUCCUGGCUUGGUCUAACGACAUGAUACAGAGCAAGGCGGAGUUCCUCAUCUCUGAGGUGGGGCUGGAACCAGGGUACAUCGCUUAUCGUCCGGCAUUGCUUACGUACAGCCUGGAUGGCCGGCUUAGGCCCCGGUACUAUGUUGUAAAGUUUCUUAAGGAAAACGGAUCGUUAGAUCAAGACCGGAGCUACUAUUCUGCAGUCAUGGUGAUGGAGAAUGUAUUCAUGGACAAGUACAUUUGCCCUCACAAGGAAGCUGCGCCGCACCUCACUGAAGACUAUGCAGCAGCUUGCAGAGGGGAAGUGCCAACUAGAUUCAGAUUUGCAUGA